rnacentral:rRNA from 1 species
GUGUUUGACCAUGCGAACUUUUUGAGUGCUUGGGCGAGAGUAGUACUAGGAUGGGUGACCUCCUGGGAAGUCCUCGUGUUGCACCCC